rnacentral:rRNA from 1 species
GACGAACGCUGGCGGCGUGCUUAACACAUGCAAGUCGAACGGAAAGGCCCUGCUUUUGUGGGGUGCUCGAGUGGCGAACGGGUGAGUAAGACGGGAGUAACCUGCCCUUGACUUUGGGAUAACUUCAGGAAACUGGGGCUAAUACCGGAUAGGAGCUCCUGCUGCAUGGGGGGGGAUGGUAAGAUUCGGCGGUUGGGGAUGGGCUGGCGGCGUAUCAGCUUCUUGGUGGGGUAGUGGCUGACCAAGGCUUUGCCGGGUAGCCGGCCUGAGAGGGUGACCGGCCACGUUGGGACUGAGCUACGGCACAGCCCACUCCGGGACGCAGCGGUGGGGAGUAUUACACUAUAGGCUGAGGCCUGACGUGGCGACGCCGCGUGCGGGAUGACGGCCUUCGGGUUGUAAACCGCUUUCCCAUGUGCCGAGGCGUGAGUGACGGUAAUGGGUAAAGAAGCACCGGCUAACUACGUG